rnacentral:tRNA from 1 species
GUAGUUAUAGUUUAACAAAAACAUUAGAUUGUGAAUCUAACAAUAGAAGCUUACAACUUCUUACCUACC